rnacentral:rRNA from 1 species
ACACAUGCAAGUCGAGCGGUAAGGCUNCUUCGGGAGUACACGAGCGGCGAACGGGUGAGUAACACGUGAGCAAUCUGCCCUUCACACUGGGAUACCCCCCGGAAACGGGAGCUAAUACCGGAUACGACCACUUCGGGCAUCCGAUGGUGGUGGAAAGUUCUGGCGGUGAAGGAUGAGCUCGCGGCCUAUCAGCUUGUUGGUGAGGUAAUGGCUCACCAAGGCUUCGACGGGUAGCCGGCCUGAGAGGGUGACCGGCCACACUGGGACUGGGACACGGCCCAGACUCCUACGGGAGGCAGCAGUGGGGAAUAUUGGACAAUGGGCGAAAGCCUGAUCCAGCAACGCCGCGUGAGGGAUGACGGCCUUCGGAUUGUAAACCUCUUUCAGCAGGGACGAAGCGAAAGUGACGGUACCUGCAGAAGAAGCACCGGCCAACUACGUGCCAGCAGCCGCGGUAAUACGUAGGGUGCGAGCGUUGUCCGGAAUUAUUGGGCGUAAAGGGCUCGUAGGCGGUCUGUUGCGUCGGGAGUGAAAACUCAGGGCUUAACCCCGAGCCUGCUUCCGAUACG